CUCUGUGACUCCUACGGGAGGCAGCAGUGGGGAAUAUUGCACAAUGGGCGCAAGCCUGAUGCAGCAACGCCGUGUGAGUGAAGAAGGUUUUCGGAUCGUAAAACUCUGUCCUAAGGGAAGAAACAAAUGACGGUACCUUAGGAGGAAGCCCCGGCUAACUACGUGCCAGCAGCCGCGGUAAUACGUAGGGGGCAAGCGUUAUCCGGAAUCACUGGGCGUAAAGGGUGCGUAGGCGGCUUAGCAAGCCAGGGGUGAAAGGCAUUGGCUCAACCAAUGUAAGCCUUUGGAACUGUUAAGCUUGAGUGCAGGAGAGGUAAGUGGAAUUCCUAGUGUAGAGGUGAAAUUCGUAGAUAUUAGGAGGAACACCAGUGGCGAAGGCGACUUUCUGGACUGUAACUGACGCUGAGGCACGAAAGCGUGGGGAGCGAACAGGAUUAGAUACCCUGGUAG
rnacentral:rRNA from 1 species